GAUCAUGGCUCAGAACGAACGCUGGCGGCGCGCCUAACACAUGCAAGUCGAACGGGGUACUUAGCGUGGAUCACUUCGGUGUGAAGCACUUUGUUACCUAGUGGCGGACGGGUGAGUAACACAUAGGUAACCUGCCCUUAGGAUUGGGAUACUCCCGGGAAACCGGGCACAAUACCGAAUAUCAUUGCAAGAUUAUGUUUUGUAAUGAAAGCUGCGAGCAAUCGUGGCGCCUAAGGAUGGGCCUGUGGCCUAUCAGCUUGUUGGUGAGGUAAUGGCUCACCAAGGCUAAGACGGGUAGCCGGACUGAGAGGUCGAUCGGCCACACUGGAACUGAGACACGGUCCAGACUCCUACGGGAGGCAGCAGUGGGGAAUUUUGCGCAAUGGGCGAAAGCCUGACGCAGCGACGCCGCGUGGGGGAAGAAGGCCUUCGGGUUGUAAACUCCUUUAGUACGGGAAGAAGCCUUCGGGUGACGGUACCGUAAGAAUAAGCCACGGCUAACUCUGUGCCAGCAGCCGCGGUAAUACAGAGGUGGCAAGCGUUGUUCGGAUUUACUGGGCUUAAAGGGCGUGUAGGCGUCCCAACAAGUCAGAUGUGGAAGCCCUGGGCUUAACCCAGGAAGUGCAUUUGAAACUGUCGGGAUUGAGUCGUGCACGGAGGGCGGAAUUCCUGGUGUAGCGGUGAAAUGCGUAGAUAUCAGGAGGAAGGCCGGUGGUGAAGACGGCCCUCUAGGCAAUGACUGACGCUGAGGCGCGAAAGCGUGGGUAGCAAACAGGAUUAGAUACCCUGGUAGUCCACGCCCUAAACGGUGCGUACUAGGUGUGGGUGGCGAUAGUCAUCCGUGCCGAAGGGAAACCAUUAAGUACGCCGCCUGGGGAGUACGGCCGCAAGGUUGAAACUCAAAUGAAUUGACGGGGGCCCGCACAAGCGGUGGAGCAUGUGGUUUAAUUCGACGCUACGCGCAGAACCUUACCUAGGCUUGACAUGUUAGUGGUAGGAACCCGAAAGGGUGACGACCUAUUCUUCGGAAUAGGAGCUUUCACAGGUGCUGCAUGGCUGUCGUCAGCUCGUGCCGUGAGGUGUUGGGUUAAGUCCCGCAACGAGCCCAACCCUCAUCAUCUGUUGCCCUUAACGGGGCUCUCUGAUGAAACUGCCGGCGAAGAGCCGGAGGAAGGUGGGGAUGACGUCAAGUCCGCAUGGCCCUUAUGCCUAGGGCUACACACGUGCUACAAUGGCAGAUACAAAGGGUGGCCAAGCCGCGAGGUGGAGCCAAUCUCAUAAAGUCUGUCCAAGUUGGGAUCGGAGUCUGCAAUUCGACUCCGUGAACCUGGAAUCGCUAGUAAUCGUGGAUCAGCACGCCACGGUGAAUACGUUCCCGGGCCUUGUACACACCGCCCGUCACACCACGAAAGUCUGCUGUACCCGAAGUAGGUGAGCCAACCAGCAAUGGAGGCAGCUUCCUAAGGUAUGGCCGGUAAUUGGGGUGAAGUCGGAACAAGGUA
rnacentral:rRNA from 1 species